rnacentral:tRNA from 1 species
GGUCAGAUAGAUCAUUUGGUAGAUCAGAGGGUUGAGAAUCCUCGUGUCGGCGGUUCGAUUCCGUCUCUGGCCACCA